rnacentral:lncRNA from 1 species
CCCCACUCACUCCCUUCACCUUCAGCCGUUGGGUUUCCCCCCCGCGCCCGGUCAAGCGUGUGCGUGCGUGACAGGCGCGCCCGCGGGACCGGAUUGAGCGGGAACAGGAAAAUAACCGCCCGCAGGGGCCGGGGCGCCGGCAAGGACCUCCGCCUGAGUGGGAACCGCGCGGGCGCCGGUGCCGGGAAUUGGUUAGACUGGCUAACAACGUAAUGCAG